GACGAACGCUGGCGGCGUGCCUAAUACAUGCAAGUCGAACGCAGUGGGGACGGGUGAGUAACACGUGGGUAACCUCCCAUCAGAGGGGAUAACACUUGGAAACAGGUGCUAAACCGAUACUGAUGGAUGGACCCGCGGUGUAUCAGCUAGUUGGUGAGGUAAUGGCUCACCAAGGCUAUGACGCAUAACUGGUCUGAGAGGAUGAGCAGUCACACUGGAACUGAGACACGGUCCAGACUCCUACGGGAGGCAGCAGUGGGGAAUUUUGGACAAUGGGCGCAAGCCUGAUCCAGCCAGGCCGCGUGUCUGAAGAAGGCCUUCGGGUUGUAAAGGACUUUUGUCAGGGAAGCGGUACCUGAAGAAUAAGCACCGGCUAACUACGUGCCAGCAGCCGCGGUAAUAC
rnacentral:rRNA from 1 species